GUCUGGAUAGCUCAGUGGCUAGAGCAGUUGCCCGUAAAGCGAAAGACUCGGGGUCGAUUCCCGAUCCAGCCA
rfam:Camponotus floridanus CamFlo_1.0_4.contig1418, whole genome shotgun sequence.